rnacentral:ribozyme from 1 species
CCACCCAAGAAAAAAAGAAAGGGAAAAAAAAAAACAUGUUUUGUAAUUUGGUCUUUGAGUCUUCAAAAGCGCGUGUGUCUCUUGUAUAUUUUCUAAAAGUGCUUUCAGAGAGGCUGU